UUGUGAUUUGGUCGAAGAUCGGUCAUUACCUCACUCCUCCUCCUAGUUGUCCGAAGCGGAAUUAAAUGGUAGCAACUGAGAGGAGCUACAAGAUUCAUCGAAAAAUCCACAGAAUUUUAAAUGCUAUAUUUUGACACAAAAUCCUUCAUGAACCUGCUGCCUUCAACAAGAAUGAUGAAACCUGGAGUGCCGCCCAAGACGUGAUAUCUGCAGAAGAAAAACAGAGUCAAAAUAUGGAGAAAUACACAGCAUCAAUACUAUACCACUUGCAUCUCUGAAGUAAUACAACGUUAUCCAUAAACCAUCCCCAGGACUGAAUAACCUCAUCUGGUUGCUGCCUUUGGAUUCUUGGUUUUUACACAGAAUAUGCCGAUUGUAAAAAAGUUGAACAGUGAAUUUAACUGCCUCCCAUCAUACAUAAAGAGGAUUACCAAUAGACACCUGGCUGUCUUCAAGAAGGUACUGGACAGGCACCUAAAGUCAGUACCUGAGCAGUCGGGCUGUGGUUCGUAUGUCAGGUUGUGUGCCUGGUUGAUCAGGCGUGAGGCCUGGUCACAGACCAGGCCGCAGGGGCGCUGACCCCUGAAACCCUCUCCAGGUAUACUAACCUCCAAUAUUUUACCACCUUGUAAAAUAUUGUGUGAAAUGACAGCUAUAAAACUGCCAGUAAAAAGAGGAUGGUUUAAUUAAAAUAAACCUAUAGUAUCCCUUGCUUCAGUGAGAUGUAUUCAAAGCCCAUGGGAGCUGCAGUAAUCCCAAUCAAGUCAUCCUAAUCCUAAAUGUAAAUACUGUAUAACAUAUGAAGUCCAGCUAACUGGAAAGCAGUUAGCCAGACUCAAGUCUUGGAAGUGGGACAUACAGAUCCUGCACUCCAAAGGAUUGAUGGGGAUGCUGCAGUCUGGAGGGCUACUUGAAAUGUGAUAGCUGCACACUUCUGGCAAGACAGCUAUUUGAAUAAGUGAAGGUGGGAGAUGGCCAACUUGUUGAAAAAAAAAAAAUGUAAUUUUUUUUUUUUUUGGGGGGGGGGUCAUUCACCCUACCUCAGUGGAGACAGCCAGUGUGUUUAAAAAAAAAAAUCUUACAUUUUGUGAACUGCACUGGUGGUGUAAAUGACUUCACAUCACAUAGGGAAUUACUGGAAGAAAUGAGCCAUCAAGUAAAAGCAAAUUAGAAUGUAGCAAACCCAAAUAAAGUGGAGACUUACUGUAGUGUUGUAGCACAUAUUUAUGACUAAUAAUUACUGUAGUGCUUACCAUAAAAACAGUCAGAGGAUAAAUAUUAGACAUCUGUACAAGUCAGUUGCUACUUGAUAAGCGAGACAUUUGUGCAGCACUUGGAUAACAUUUUGCCAGCAGGUGCAUAUGCUGUACUCUGAUCAAGACUGAUGGAUUGAACACAUUGACACAAGACCGAGAGACUGAUUACCUCAAACUCUCUACUCGUCUUCCACCUCUCAUUUCUAUACCAGACUGAGGAAGCCACUUGUUAGUGAAACGUUUCCACAAGUGUCUCGUUCAUCAAGAUGUCGGUUCUCUGAACCAUAUAAUUAGAGUUCAU